rnacentral:rRNA from 1 species
AGUGAACGCUGGCGGUAGGCCUAACACAUGCAAGUCGAACGGCAGCACAGUAAGAGCUUGCUCUUACGGGUGGCGAGUGGCGGACGGGUGAGGAAUACAUCGGAAUCUACUUUUUCGUGGGGGAUAACGUAGGGAAACUUACGCUAAUACCGCAUACGACCUACGGGUGAAAGCAGGGGAUCUUCGGACCUUGCGCGAUUGAAUGAGCCGAUGUCGGAUUAGCUAGUUGGCGGGGUAAAGGCCCACCAAGGCGACGAUCCGUAGCUGGUCUGAGAGGAUGAUCAGCCACACUGGAACUGAGACAGGGUCCAGACUCCUACGGGAGGCAGCGGUGGGGAAUAUUGGACAAUGGGCGCGAGCCUGAUCCAGCCAUACCGCGUGGGUGAAGAAGGCCUUCUGGUUGUAGAGCCCUUUUGUUGGGAAAGAAAAGCAGCAGGUUAAUACCCCGCUGUUCUGACGGUACCCAAAGAAUAAGCACCGGCUAACUUCGUG